rnacentral:rRNA from 1 species
AACUCGACUCCAUGAAGUCGGAAUCGCUAGUAAUCGUAGAUCAGAAUGCUACGGUGAAUACGUUCCCGGGCCUUGUACACACCGCCCGUCACACCAUGGGAGUGGGUUGCAAAAGAAGUAGGUAGCUUAACCUUCGGGAGGGCGCUUACCACUUUGUGAUUCAUGACUGGGGUGAAGUCGUAACAAGGUAACCGUAGGGGAACCUGCGGUUGGAUCACCUCCUUA